ACAUCCAGAGAAUUUAGCAGAGAUGCUUUAGUGCCUUCGGGAACUCUGAGACAGGUGCUGCAUGGCUGUCGUCAGCUCGUGUUGUGAAAUGUUGGGUUAGGUCCCGCAACGAGCGCAACCCUUAUCCUUUGUUGCCAGCGCGUAAUGGCGGGAACUCAAAGGAGACUGCCGGUGAUAAACCGGAGGAAGGUGGGGAUGACGUCAAGUCAUCAUGGCCCUUACGAGUAGGGCUACACACGUGCUACAAUGGCGCAUACAAAGAGAAGCGACCUCGCGAGAGCAAGCGGACCUCAUAAAGUGCGUCGUAGUCCGGAUUGGAGUCUGCAACUCGACUCCAUGAAGUCGGAAUCGCUAGUAAUCGUAAAUCAGAAUGUUACGGUGAAUACGUUCCCGGGCCUUGUACACACCGCCCGUCACACCAUGGGAGUGGGUUGCAAAAGAAGUAGAUAGCUUAACCUUCGGGAGGGCGUUUACCACUUUGUGAUUCAUGACUGGGGUGAAGUCGUAACAAGGUAGGCGUAGCGAG
rnacentral:rRNA from 1 species